GCCAGUGUGAUGUAGUGGUUUGAAUGUUGGACUAUGACUCUAUAGAACAGGGUUCGAAUCCGCACUGGUG